AGCCCGUUCGCCCUAACGGGGUUAAUUGCCCUCGAUCACGAAUGUCUCUUGCCCUGAUUGUAUGCAAAGGAGAAUCUUCUUGUGUUCUAAAUCCCUACAAACAAAAAUAUAGAAAAUCCCUAAAUAUCCAUUCUUUGUUAAGAGACGUUGUGCUUAAUGCCUAAUUAAAGCAUAUGAAAUAGAUUUAUCCUUAUAUCAAUAAUUUUCAUUUUAAAAAAAAAUAAUUAAAAAACAAUUUAACUGUAAAAAUUAUACAAACCAUAAGUUUACCUGAAUCGAUCAAUCUGAUUGCAACUGGAUAGGGUCGAAUUAGUUUUGGAGACCUUAAGACCUUGAUUAACUGACUAUUCCGUAUCACCUUUGAGUUCCUGAAUGCAAGAUUAAAACUACGAGUGUUGCAACUAGUGUUUCGCAUACACCGUCCGCAUUGUGAAUAUGUUAGUUGUUAACCAUCAAUCUUCUAAAAAAAUUAAAAUAUUGUCAUAAUGUUUUUAGUGUAGGAAAAUUGAUAAUGUACCUAAAGUAGAAAAUAUACUUAUCUCUAAUAUUGAGAAAUUGUUUACUCGUAUUCGAUAAUUGUGAAUCUUCUUCAAAUGAUUAGUAACUGUGGAUGGUGUGUGUGCGUGAACUAUAAAGUGUAUAUAGAAAUUGUAUGGAUGAUAGUAUAAAACACUUUGAAAUUUGAGUUC